rnacentral:rRNA from 1 species
UACAGAGGGUGCAAGCGUUUAAUCGGAAUUACUGGGCGUAAAGCGUGCGUAGACGGUUACGUAAGUCAGAUGUGAAAGCCCCGGGCUCAACCUGGGAAUUGCAUUUGAGACUGCGUAGCUAGGGUGCGGAAGAGGGAUGCGGAAUUCCAGGUGUAGCGGUGAAAUGCGUAGAUAUCUGGAGGAACACCGGUGGCGAAGGCGGCAUCCUGGACCGGUAUUGACGCUGAUGAGCGAAAGCCAGGGGAGCAAACGGG